rnacentral:tRNA from 1 species
CAGGGUGUAGCUCAGAAUAGCGGAGCAGCUCAUUUACACUGAGAAGACAUUUGUGCAAACCAAAUUAUCCUGAC